AGAGCGAGCGCUGGCGGCAGGCCUAAUACAUGCAAGUCGAACGAAUCCUUCGGGAUUAGUGGCGGACGGGUGAGUAACACGUGGGAACGUGCCCUUUGGUUCGGAACAACUCAGGGAAACUUGAGCUAAUACCGAAUGUGCCCUUCGGGGGAAAGAUUUAUCGCCAUUGGAGCGGCCCGCGUCUGAUUAGCUAGUUGGUGAGGUAAAGGCUCACCAAGGCUACGAUCAGUAGCUGGUCUGAGAGGAUGAUCAGCCACACUGGGACUGAGACACGGCCCAGACUCCUACGGGAGGCAGCAGUAGGGAAUCUUGCGCAAUGGGCGAAAGCCUGACGCAGCCAUGCCGCGUGAAUGAUGAAGGUCUUAGGAUUGUAAAAUUCUUUCAGCGGGGACGAUAAUGACGGUACCCGCAGAAGAAGCCCCGGCUAACUUCGUGCCAGCAGCCGCGGUAAUACGAAGGGGGCUAGCGUUGCUCGGAAUUACUGGGCGUAAAGGGCGCGUAGGCGGAUGUUUAAGUCAGAGGUGAAAGCCCAGGGCUCAACCUUGGAACUGCCUUUGAUACUGGACAUCUUGAGUAUGGGAGAGGUGAGUGGAACUCCGAGUGUAGAGGUGAAAUUCGUAGAUAUUCGGAAGAACACCAGUGGCGAAGGCGACUCACUGGCCCAUUACUGACGCUGAGGCGCGAAAGCGUGGGGAGCAAACAGGAUUAGAUACCCUGGUAGUCCUAGCCGUAAACGAUGGGCACUAGGUGUGGGGGGUCAUCAACUCCCUCCGUGCCGCAGCUAACGCAUUAAGUGCCCCGCCUGGGGAGUACGGCCGCAAGGCUAAA
rnacentral:rRNA from 1 species